rnacentral:rRNA from 1 species
GAUGAACGCUGGCGGCGUGCCUAAUACAUGCAAGUCGAGCGAACGGACGAGAAGCUUGCUUCUCUGAUGUUAGCGGCGGACGGGUGAGUAACACGUGGAUAACCUACCUAUAAGACUGGGAUAACUUCGGGAAACCGUAGCUAAUACCGGAUAAUAUUUUGAACCGCAUGGUUCAAAAGUGAAAGACGGUCUUGCUGUCACUUAUAGAUGGAUCCGCGCUGCAUUAGCUAGUUGGUAAGGUAACGGCUUACCAAGGCAACGAUGCAUAGCCGACCUGAGAGGGUGAUCGGCCACACUGGAAUUGAGACACGGUCCAGACUCCUACGGGAGGCAGCAGUAGGGAAUCUUCCGCAAUGGGCGAAAGCCUGACGGAGCAACGCCGCGUGAGUGAUGAAGGUCUUCGGAUCGUAAAACUCUGUUAUUAGGGAAGAACAUAUGUGUAAGUAACUGUGCACAUCUUGACGGUACCUAAUCAGAAAGCCACGGCUAACUACGUG